ACUGUUUCGAAAGACCGCGUGCGCGAGAACGUCCAAGCGUUCGCUUCGGUUGUCGCGCACGCGCGAUUGCCACUUCCGUGUGACGCUAGUCUUCUGAUCUAGAAAGCUUUAGCUUCAGUAAACUUCCUGGAUCUCUGAGGUGAUCGGUUUUUUGGCCCGUAGAACGCCAUUAAAUUCGCUUAGAUGGCCCAUCUGGUCUCGAAGAACGGUGUUUCGUAGAAAUGAGUGAGACGGAAAUGUGGAUUUCAGAAGUGGCUGUUGCUUUCUUGUUGAUAUAUUUAAUUAGUUGUUUAAACUUUUUCCAGUUUGGUAGCUGCUAAUGUAUCGCUUACGAUGAGCGGAAAAAUCGGUACAUAGUUGCUUUUUAGUAGAGAUUCGUUCUUUGUGAGUAUGUUUUGAUAAGAAACCGAUAAGAAUUUUGUAAGUAGUGGUAGCUUCCUGAUUGAUAUAUUAACGUUUCCAAAAUUGUUAGUAAUUGCGCAUUGGUAUAUUAAUAGCGAAGAUUCGUCGUUGAGAGUAUACUUUGAUAUUUAUGUGAAGUUUCAAUUAUGUACCGGAAUAUAUCAAAUAUUAAUAUAAAUAUCAGGUUUUUAUCGUUCAGUACUGAAACCCGUGAAAAGAAAUUGUCUACGAGACUAGAAAUAUCUACUAGAAAUUAUGUCGUUCUGUCUACGUCAAAAUCAUUUGUAGUCGCUUAUUAAUAUAUUGUUAACAAAUGUCUAUAUUUAUGUAAAGAUUUCUGUAAUUUAAUGUUCAAACCAAUGAACAAAAGUUAUCAAUGUUAUAUUAUAAAUUACAUCAUCUUAACCAUCCAGAAAGCCAUAUAAACAAUUAUUAUUCAAUAUUUUGCUCACUUCAGUUCCUGUGUGACGUCGAUAAUCGUUUAUGUAAACAGCUGUCGAAGAAAUAAACAAAAUAAUGAAUGCCAAACAAAAUUAUUUCUAAUUUUACUGAAAAUACGGAAAUGCGUAUUACAAUAAGCUUGGUGGUACUUACGUUUGGCGAAUUUCCUGGCGUCGUAAAUCCACUGAAAGUCCCACGACGACCGUACGAGAGCGGAGUCGAAGGAGAAACUCGAAGAUACGAAAACGUGUUGAACCUAACAAUAGCGCCGCUGCUAUUCUAUAUUUAGUCAGUUUUUCAAACGUUUCGACGUAGAGGUACACGUGCUCGCGGACAGAAGCGCCUCAACUUCCUGCACAUUUUCCUGUCACAUUAGCGUUGAGAUACUGUGAAAGAAUCACGCUGCAAAUAAUUCUGAAAUAUAUUAAACUCGUUUCAUUGGCAAUUUCAACGAAAACAUUAGCGUUAGAAGAUUACGAAAUAGAGUACUAGCUUCGAAUUGUUAUCUUGUUUAACUUUACGAAUGUUUAUCGUAUUUUUUUUUUUUUUUUUUUUUGUAAUAAGCGUUUUAUCUAAAAAUGGUUUGAAGUACGAUACAUUGGAAAGUAAUGCAAAUGCAUAAGAACGUUUUCAAGGUGAAUUAUAAAGAUUUGUGUUUAAGUAAUACGGUUUCGUUAGAACAGAUUUAUUAUAUAGAGUAUAAUACAAAACAUUACAGAAA